CUAGCCGUAAACGAUGGACACUAGGUGUUGGAGGAUCGACCCCUUCAGUGCUGUUCUGUUAACGCGUUAAGUGUCCCGCCUGGGGAGUACGGUCGCAAGGCUAAAACUCAAAGGAAUUGACGGGGGCCCGCACAAGCGGUGGAGCAUGUUGGUCAAUAGGAUGAUACGCCAAGAACCUUACCAGGGCUUGACAUGUUUCUGACAGCCUGGGAAACCAGGUCUUCCACUUCGGUGGACAGAAUCACAGGUGGUGCAUGGUUGUCGACAGCUCGUGUCGUGAGAUGUUGGGUUAAGUCCCGCAACGAGCGCAACCCUCACCGAAUGUUGCCAGCGGGUAAUGCCGGGAACUCUUUCGGGACUGCCUGAGCAAUCAGGAGGAAGGAGAGGACGACGUCAAAUCUGCAUGCCCCUUAUGUCCUGGGCUGCAAACGUGCUACAAUGGCCGGUACAGAGGGAAGCGACACCGCGAGGUUGAGCAAAUCCUCAAAAUCGGUCCCAGUUCGGAUUGGAUGUCUGCAACUCGACUCCAUGAAGUUGGAAUCGCUAGUAACCGCGGAUCAGCAACGCCGCGGUGAAUACGUUCCCGGGCCUUGUACACACCGCCCGUCAGAUCACGAAAGCUGGCAGCGCCCUAAGUCCGUCUUCGGGCGGCCGAAGGUGAGGCCAGUGAUUGGGAUCAAGUCGUAACAAGGUAACCAAGGGCGAA
rnacentral:rRNA from 1 species